ensembl:snRNA U6 U6 spliceosomal RNA
GUGCUCACUUUAGCAGCACAUAUACUGAAGUUAGAAUGAUACAGAGAAGAGCAUGGCCCUGUGCAAGGACAACACAAGAUAUUAACCUCCAUCACGUGUUU